AGAGUUUGAUCCUGGCUCAGGAUGAACGCUGGCGGCGUGCCUAACACAUGCAAGUCGAACGGAACUUCUUUGACAGAAUUCUUCGGAAGGAAGUUGAUUAAGUUUAGUGGCGGACGGGUGAGUAACGCGUGAGUAACCUGCCUUUGAGAGGGGAAUAACUUCCCGAAAGGGAUGCUAAUACCGCAUGAUGCAUAUUUAUCGCAUGGUAGAUAUGCCAAAGAUUUAUCGCUCAGAGAUGGACUCGCGUCCGAUUAGCCAGUUGGCGGGGUAACGGCCCACCAAAGCGACGAUCGGUAGCCGGACUGAGAGGUUGAACGGCCACAUUGGGACUGAGACACGGCCCAGACUCCUACGGGAGGCAGCAGUGGGGGAUAUUGCGCAAUGGGGGAAACCCUGACGCAGCAACGCCGCGUGAAGGAUGAAGGUUUUCGGAUUGUAAACUUCUUUUAUUUAGGACGAACAAUGACGGUACUAAAUGAAUAAGCUCCGGCUAACUACGUGCCAGCAGCCGCGGUAAUACGUAGGGAGCAAGCGUUAUCCGGAUUUACUGGGUGUAAAGGGUGCGUAGGCGGCUUGGUAAGUCAGAUGUGAAAUGUAUGGGCUCAACCCAUGCACUGCAUUUGAAACUAUUGAGCUUGAGUGAAGUAGAGGUAGGCGGAAUUCCCUGUGUAGCGGUGAAAUGCGUAGAGAUAGGGAGGAACACCAGUGGCGAAGGCGGCCUACUGGGCUUUAACUGACGCUGAGGCACGAAAGCAUGGGUAGCAAACAGGAUUAGAUACCCUGGUAGUCCAUGCCGUAAACGAUGAUUACUAGGUGUGGGAGGAUUGACCCCUUCCGUGCCGCAGUUAACACAAUAAGUAAUCCACCUGGGGAGUACGACCGCAAGGUUGAAACUCAAAGGAAUUGACGGGGGCCCGCACAAGCAGUGGAGUAUGUGGUUUAAUUCGAAGCAACGCGAAGAACCUUACCAGGUCUUGACAUCGAGUGACGAAUCUAGAGAUAGAUUUUUCCUUCGGGACACAAAGACAGGUGGUGCAUGGUUGUCGUCAGCUCGUGUCGUGAGAUGUUGGGUUAAGUC
rnacentral:rRNA from 1 species